rnacentral:rRNA from 1 species
UACGUAGGGAGCAAGCGUUGUCCGGAAUCAUUGGGCGUAAAGCGCGCGUAGGCGGCCUCAUAAGUCCGUUGUGAAAGUCAAAGGCUCAACCUUUGAAAGCCGAUGGAUACUGUGAGGCUAGAGUCCGGAAGAGGCGAGUGGAAUUCCUGGUGUAGCGGUGGAAUGCGCAGAUAUCAGGAGGAACACCAAUAGCGAAGGCAGCUCGCUGGGACGGUACUGACGCUAAGGCGCGAAAGCUAGGGGAGCGAACAGG